CAGAGAGAACCUAAAUGACACGACCGGGACUCCAUCACUGGCUUUGGUUCCAGAGAUACAUAAAAGCUGAGGAGCUGUGUGAACCCUCCACGUAGAGAAUGGGAACGUGACAUCAGUGGACAAGGAUGGCAAGCAAUGCAUUGUCGGACAUGGAUUUAGGACACGGAGCUUAGCAGCAGAGCCGGUUUAGAAGUACGAUUUGUUUUAUUAUUGUUUUGAUUUUGUGAUCAACCRUAAAAAAAAAAAAAAGGUGAACGCAAGCUGUGUUAUCAACAGCCAGUCAUUCUCACGAUCGGAGGAGGAACCGUAUUGCACACGGAUUGCGUUUUUUCCCCCAGUUUUUCAGUAAGAAAACAACACAGAGGAACCCAGGUUACCGAGCUAACAGAGACGUCGUAUGAUGGGUGACAGCUGCAACCUUCAGGAGUAUUUCCAGAAACAUGUUUGUGUGAUCACGGCAUUUCCACACAACAGGAAGAAACUCCAUACAGUGGCGUAUGUUUCAGAAGGAGAGGGGUUUCCCAGGAGCUCAGCACGGGAUGUCUCAGGAGCUAUGAAAGGUCUGUGCGAAAACGACUGCCGAACAACCACGUGACCGCGCGUCGACUCGUUGGCAUCGGAGGGAGGAAGCCAGCCUACAAGUUGUUGGGUUGUCAUCCUGACUGGGUACUGGCCUUACAUCCUGCACACAGAAGUUCAAGCUGGAGGAAAAUGUGAUCCUGAAUGAAGUUCUGAAAACUAAAACGAAUGAGCAAUUCUUACAAGAUGUGAUGGUCAAGUAUUUCACUGGGCUUCCACUGGGCUGUUUUGAUGGGAGGGGAUGACUCAGCUACUUCUCUGUUUAGCACAGACUUGAAAAUGAACAUGAAAAUUGUUCCACAUAGAAGUGUUGUAUAAAUGACUGAUGAAUA